rnacentral:tRNA from 1 species
GCGGACUUAGCUCAUGAAUGUAGAGCACCUUGCAUGCACUGAGGGGUUGCAGGUUCGAGUCCUGUAGUCCACA